AGAGAAUCCAUCUAAGCCCAGCCCAGGCUUCCGAUCUAGAGGAAAUGGGAGAGGGGACACGGGUUCCAUCCCUGGUUGGGGAACUAAGAUUCUGCGUGCCAGGGACCCCCAACCCCGGGGCCAUGGGCCACUAGCGGUCCGUGGCCUGUUAGGAACCGGGCCACACAGCAGAAGGUGAGCGGAGGAUGAGUGAGCGAAGCUUCAUCUGUAUUUACAGCCGCUCCCCGUCGCUCGCAUGACAGCCUGAACUCCGCCUCCUGUCAGCAUUAUGGGGACACGGGUUCGAGCCCUGGUCUGGGAAGAUCCCACAUGCCGCAGAGCAACUGGGCCCGUGAGCCACAACUACUGAGCCUGCGCGUCUGGAGCCUGUGCUCCGUAACAAAAGAGGCCGCGACAGUGAGAGUCCCGCGCACCGCGAUGAAGAGUGGCCCCCGCUU